AUGGGUCGUAAAACACAAGACACCAUAUGUUGUGGCACUAGCAAAUCCAUGUCGCGGAGUUGCAGGUCACCUACAUAUGCCUGGACAUGGAAAGAGAGAGAUCAUAUCAUAAUCCAAGGUCCUGAUGAACACAUGUACAGUAAGGAAAUUGCAAAACUGUUGCCUCGGUGCGAGAAAUCACCAUGGAUUUACAGGGAAUGUGUGUGUGUGUGUCUGGAGGGGGUAGCAAAGGCAAAAACACAAAGGAAAUUGACAAGGCGAUUACCAGGAGUGCAUGUGUCUAAUCAAAGCUCCGUAUGGAUCAGGAUUGACACCUUCACAAGACAUCAAAUGCAGCAGCAGCAUACGGCUUCUUGUCACGAGCAAAUCCAUUUUGCCGAGGUCAUGGGUCGUCGACACGCCUGA
rnacentral:rRNA from 1 species